rnacentral:rRNA from 1 species
UACGGAGGGGGCUAGCGUUGUUCGGAAUUACUGGGCGUAAAGCGCACGUAGGCGGACUGUUAAGUCGGGGGUGAAAUCCUGGGGCUCAACCUCAGAAUUGCCUCCGAUACUGGCAGUCUCGAGUGCGGGAGAGGUGAGUGGAAUUCCCAGUGUAGAGGUGAAAUUCGUAGAUAUUGGCUGGAACACCGGUGGCGAAAGCGGCUCUCUGGCCCGGUUCUGACGCUGAGGCGCGAAAGCGUGGGGAGCAAACAGG